rnacentral:tRNA from 1 species
UAAUUUAUAUGUAAUUAGUGAAAUUUCUAUUUA